GGCAGAGAUGCCCUUGGUCUGAGGCUGUGCUGGUGACUCCCUCCUCCCCUCUGGGUCAGGAUGGAGAAGGAUCCCGUCACUCACAGGAAGCACCGGCCUGGGCCUGGAGCCCUGCCCUCAGGAAUAACCCCUGUAUACCUCAAGGUGGCCAGUGAAGGGGCAGAACUCCAGAGGAGCAGGAGUGUGGGUGGCUUGCACCAGAAGGGGGACCCACCGAUCUGCAUCAGGAAACUACUACGCAAGGAGCUAGGUAGGGGGUGGCUCCCUCCCAGAGGGCUGGGAGGGCAGGCAGAGCCGGCCCAGCCUCAAGAAAAUAGGGUGUGCAAGACACAUUCCUGCUAGGAGAAGGUAGCUGGUUUCUAACUUCAGAACUGCACCAGGCCGUGGAAACCCUGCCUUUCUCUCGGCUGCUCUUUGCUUAGUACAUUAAGUAAGAAAGAUGAGGGUUGGAAGAGUCUCCUACUAGUUAGCAUCUUCUGAAACACAGGCACAUAUUACAUGUGCAUGCGUACUUAGGGAGCGCUGGGGAGUUUCCGGUCCUUUUACCUUCUGUAUAUGGGUAUUUUGCCUGCACACAUGUAUGUGCCCCAUGUAUGUGCAGUGCUAUGGAGACCAGGAGAGGGCAUUGGAUCCCCUGGGAUUGGAAUUAGACUUGAGUCCUGUGUGAGUUUUGG
rnacentral:lncRNA from 1 species